AUGAUAUUUUGUUUUCAAUGCGUUUUCUUUUUAGCAGUCUUCAGAGGUGUCCAAUCAGAGGUCCAGCUGGUGGAGUCUGGAGGGGAUGUCAAAAGGCCUGGAGAGUCCCUCCGCCUGUCCUGCAAAGCCUCCGGGUUCACCUUCACCAGCUACUACAUGGGCUGGGUGAGACAAGCUCCUGGAAAAGGCUUGGAAUGGUUGACACGCAUACAUUCAACUAGCAUUUACAUCUCUGAUAAAGUGAAGGGACGAUUUACCCCCUCCAGGGAUGAUCCAAACAGCCUGCUGUAUUUACAAAUGAAUAGCUUGAAACCUGAAGACACGGCAGUGUAUUACUGUGCAAGAGACACAGUGAGAGAAAGUGAACCGGAAACCAGACAAAAACCUGGCAGAUCUACAAGUUCACUCAAAUGCAACAGUUUGAAUGAAAGAAGAACUAGACAAAAGAGAACAUUAUUCUGGCUCCACACUCUUGUUAAAACAAUAUCCAAAACAUUUGGAUUUUAUUAUGUUUACUUCAUGGACUGA